UUAAGUUAUUAAGGGCGCACGGUGGAUGCCUUGGCACUAGAAGCCGAUGAAGGACGUUACUAACGACGAUAUGCUUUGGGGAGCUGUAAGUAAGCUUUGAUCCAGAGAUUUCCGAAUGGGGAAACCCAGCAUGAGUUAUGUCAUGUUAUCGAUAUGUGAAUACAUAGCAUAUCAGAAGGCACACCCGGAGAACUGAAACAUCUUAGUACCCGGAGGAAGAAAAAGAAAAUUCGAUUCCCUUAGUAGCGGCGAGCGAAACGGGAAGAGCCCAAACCAACAAGCUUGCUUGUUGGGGUUGUAGGACACUCUAUACGGAGUUACAAAGGACGACAUUAGACGAAUCAUCUGGAAAGAUGAAUCAAAGAAGGUAAUAAUCCUGUAGUCGAAAAUGUUGUCUCUCUUGAGUGGAUCCUGAGUACGACGGAGCACGUGAAAUUCCGUCGGAAUCUGGGAGGACCAUCUCCUAAGGCUAAAUACUCUCUAGUGACCGAUAGUGAACCAGUACCGUGAGGGAAAGGUGAAAAGCACCCCGGAAGGGGAGUGAAAUAGAACCUGAAACCGUGUGCUUACAAGUAGUCAGAGCCCGUUAAUGGGUGAUGGCGUGCCUUUUGUAGAAUGAACCGGCGAGUUACGAUUUGAUGCAAGGUUAAGCAGUAAAUGUGGAGCCGUAGCGAAAGCGAGUCUGAAUAGGGCGUUUAGUAUUUGGUCGUAGACCCGAAACCAGGUGAUCUACCCUUGGUCAGGUUGAAGUUCAGGUAACACUGAAUGGAGGACCGAACCGACUUACGUUGAAAAGUGAGCGGAUGAACUGAGGGUAGCGGAGAAAUUCCAAUCGAACCUGGAGAUAGCUGGUUCUCUCCGAAAUAGCUUUAGGGCUAGCCUCAAGUGAUGAUUAUUGGAGGUAGAGCACUGUUUGGACGAGGGGCCCCUCUCGGGUUACCGAAUUCAGACAAACUCCGAAUGCCAAUUAAUUUAACUUGGGAGUCAGAACAUGGGUGAUAAGGUCCGUGUUCGAAAGGGAAACAGCCCAGACCACCAGCUAAGGUCCCAAAAUAUAUGUUAAGUGGAAAAGGAUGUGGCGUUGCCCAGACAACUAGGAUGUUGGCUUAGAAGCAGCCAUCAUUUAAAGAGUGCGUAAUAGCUCACUAGUCGAGUGACACUGCGCCGAAAAUGUACCGGGGCUAAACAUAUUACCGAAGCUGUGGAUUGUCCUUUGGACAAUGGUAGGAGAGCGUUCUAAGGGCGUUGAAGCAUGAUCGUAAGGACAUGUGGAGCGCUUAGAAGUGAGAAUGCCGGUGUGAGUAGCGAAAGACGGGUGAGAAUCCCGUCCACCGAUUGACUAAGGUUUCCAGAGGAAGGCUCGUCCGCUCUGGGUUAGUCGGGUCCUAAGCUGAGGCCGACAGGCGUAGGCGAUGGAUAACAGGUUGAUAUUCCUGUACCACCUAUAAUCGUUUUAAUCGAUGGGGGGGACGCAGUAGGAUAGGCGAAGCGUGCGAUUGGAUUGCACGUCUAAGCAGUAAGGCUGAGUAUUAGGCAAAUCCGGUACUCGUUAAGGCUGAGCUGUGAUGGGGAGAAGACAUUGUGUCUUCGAGUCGUUGAUUUCACACUGCCGAGAAAAGCCUCUAGAUAGAAAAUAGGUGCCCGUACCGCAAACCGACACAGGUAGUCAAGAUGAGAAUUCUAAGGUGAGCGAGCGAACUCUCGUUAAGGAACUCGGCAAAAUGACCCCGUAACUUCGGGAGAAGGGGUGCUCUUUAGGGUUAACGCCCAGAAGAGCCGCAGUGAAUAGGCCCAAGCGACUGUUUAUCAAAAACACAGGUCUCUGCUAAACCGUAAGGUGAUGUAUAGGGGCUGACGCCUGCCCGGUGCUGGAAGGUUAAGAGGAGUGGUUAGCUUCUGCGAAGCUACGAAUCGAAGCCCCAGUAAACGGCGGCCGUAACUAUAACGGUCCUAAGGUAGCGAAAUUCCUUGUCGGGUAAGUUCCGACCCGCACGAAAGGCGUAACGAUUUGGGCACUGUCUCAACGAGAGACUCGGUGAAAUCAUAGUACCUGUGAAGAUGCAGGUUACCCGCGACAGGACGGAAAGACCCCGUGGAGCUUUACUGUAGCCUGAUAUUGAAAUUCGGCACAGCUUGUACAGGAUAGGUAGGAGCCUUUGAAACGUGAGCGCUAGCUUACGUGGAGGCGCUGGUGGGAUACUACCCUAGCUGUGUUGGCUUUCUAACCCGCACCACUUAUCGUGGUGGGAGACAGUGUCAGGCGGGCAGUUUGACUGGGGCGGUCGCCUCCUAAAAGGUAACGGAGGCGCUCAAAGGUUCCCUCAGAAUGGUUGGAAAUCAUUCAUAGAGUGUAAAGGCAUAAGGGAGCUUGACUGCGAGACCUACAAGUCGAGCAGGGUCGAAAGACGGACUUAGUGAUCCGGUGGUUCCGCAUGGAAGGGCCAUCGCUCAACGGAUAAAAGCUACCCCGGGGAUAACAGGCUUAUCUCCCCCAAGAGUUCACAUCGACGGGGAGGUUUGGCACCUCGAUGUCGGCUCAUCGCAUCCUGGGGCUGUAGUCGGUCCCAAGGGUUGGGCUGUUCGCCCAUUAAAGCGGUACGCGAGCUGGGUUCAGAACGUCGUGAGACAGUUCGGUCCCUAUCCGUCGUGGGCGUAGGAAAUUUGAGAGGAGCUGUCCUUAGUACGAGAGGACCGGGAUGGACAUACCUCUGGUGUACCAGUUGUCGUGCCAACGGCAUAGCUGGGUAGCUAUGUGUGGACGGGAUAAGUGCUGAAAGCAUCUAAGCAUGAAGCCCCCCCUCAAGAUGAGAUUUCCCAACUUCGGUUAUAAGAUCCCUCAAAGAUGAUGAGGUUAAUAGGUUCGAGGUGGAAGCAUGGUGACAUGUGGAGCUGACGAAUACUAAUCGAUCGAAGACUUAAUCAA
rnacentral:rRNA from 1 species